rnacentral:rRNA from 1 species
AUACGGAGGUUGCAAGCGUUACUCGGAAUCACUGGGCGUCAAGCGCGCGCAGGCGGCCAUUUAAGUUGGAUGUGAAAGCCUACGGCUCAACCGUAGAACUGCAUCCAAAACUAUUUGGCUAGAGUGUGGGAGAGGAAGAUGGAAUUAGUUGUGUAGGGGUAAAAUCCGUAGAGAUAACUAGGAAUACCAAAAGCGAAGGCAAUCUUCUGGAACACUACUGACGCUGAGGCGCGAAAGCGUGGGGAGCAAACGGGAUUAGAAACCCUUGUAGUCC